ACCCGGCCCCCUCCCCUCGCGCGACCCCCUCCCCCCUCCCUUCGCGCGAGACCCCAUCCUAACCUAGCCGCCAGCGCCCGCCUGCCGCCGGUCCACUCCUUCAUCAAUCCCCCGCCGCCGUGCUGAAGGUUUCUACCUCGCCACUGCCCCGCCCCUGCGCCUGCCGGUCCUCCACUCGUCGCCGGCCCGCCCCUGCUCCUGGCCGGCCUCAACUCGCCGCCGCCGCCGGAGUGGAUCCUCACACGGGAGAGAUGGAUGAAUUGGCAAGAAAAAGAAGGCAACUAAGGGCGCGUUUGGUUCAUUAGCUAGCCUUGCUUAGCUGGGGUAGAUUUUCCUAGCUGGUGUGAGCAAGAGCUCGUAAGAGCAAACCUGGCUGUUUGGUUGCAAUGAGCUGUACACCGGAUAGCAGCACCUGAAGACAAUUCGAAUAGAAGAGGUGCAUCGUGGACCAUGACUCAUGGAUGAGGGAGUUAUGUUACGGGUGUACAGAGAAGUGGGGUUGCUGUUUUUGUGCCUGUUGGCUUGCCCGCACGAGCGAGCCGAAUUGGCUCUCCUCCAUGAGCAAGGUUUUGACAGCGGUUACAGGCUUAAUUGCCAUCAAAAGCUAGAUUUUUCUGUCCAUACCAAACACCUGACCUUGCCUAGCGAGGCUAGUUUAGUUCUUGCCUCAGAUCCAAACGCACCCUAAUUGUGAGAGGAGCCGGUCUAGUGGCUGGAUUGUAUGCUUACAUGAUGGUCAUGUUUAGAAGAUCUAGGCAAGAAAAACCAAGGAUAACCUUGGGCAGCAUGGCCGAUCGUGCCAUAUCUAGAGAGUCAAAUUUGAGAUACGUUUAUCACUCUAGUGACAUAAAUUGUUCAAAUCAACUCAGAAUGAGAAAAUCUCCAUUUUUCC